UUAACCUUAAUAAUUAGGUACUCAUUAGAAUAUUAUGUUUAGGGAAUAUAUAUAAUACAAUUUUCACGACAGUUAGUUAGAUUUUUUAAUUGUUAUAACAGUUUAAACUUUGAAAUCGUUCUCCUGAUCAAUAAUCCGAUAACGUAACUAGGUAUUACAACAUGUGUGCGCUAUGCCAUCGAAUUAUAUACAAUUUAAAUGCGUACUGCGCACCGAUUUGACGCUUCUGAUGAGCUUGCAAAACGUUUGGCACGCGUGUGAACGAAUCGGCUUUGGACUGAAUAUGGCAAUAUAAUAUGUAUCUACCUACCUACGUAAUACGACUACAUCGUCUGACACGGUCAUUGCCACUCACUCUGCCGCCAUAUUAUAAUAUUUUAUUAUUAUUAUUAUCGUAGACCUAAAGCAUUGACGAGAGCAAUCAUUUACCUCUUUUAUGAUAUAUUUUCUGACAAACGACACGAUGUUUAAUCGCAACACCACCGCGGCGGCGGCUGUAGUCCGUAUCGACGUGCAUUGAUUGUCCGGAGUAUAAAAUAUUAAUAUAAUAUUUUAGAGCCGUAUCUAUAAUACAUUGAUACCUAUAGAUAUUUUUUUCAUUAAAAAUUAAUUAGCGUUCGAAAAUGAAACAAUUACGUUCGUGGACCAUAUACUAUUAACACCACCACCGCCCCUUCGCGUCGCGUGUUAACGGCGUAUCAAAGGUCGGACGAUUUGUGGUGUAUGUACAGAGUAGGCACAGAAGUUGUACAACGGUAACCACAUUAAAAUAUUGUCAUACGAUGAUUAACGAAUAUAAUAUUAUGAUUAAGUAUCGAACAAACAAUUAAUGAAGUCCCGAGAAUCUUCAAUGUUUAGUGGUGUAAAACCCUCAUCGAGGACUAUAAUAUACUCUGUCCCCGCGCUCUUUGAUAUAAUAAUAUAUACAUAAUUAUAUCAACCAAAUCAAUAAAUAUCAAAUAUAACAAAUCUAUGACGUAUUCAAUACUUAUACGAGAUAAUUUGCAGAGUUUGAAUCAAAAUACAAGUAAAACCAAACUUUUAUUCAAAUGUUUAAGACCUGAAAUUACCUUUUUACGUAUAGAAAUGUACCAUGAUCUUAAACGGAAUGAACAUAUUACUAUAAAUCUUGCAACAGAUAAAUUAGUAAAAAUAAUGUAUGCUUUCGAAAAUCUAACUGAUAUCUUAGAACUCGAGUAAAUUAUAGUGGUGAAUCAACCAUUAAUAUAAUCUGUAAUAAUUUUGAAAUUUUUAAAAGGAUACCUACACUUAUAAAAAAAUGAUAGACCUAUUUAACAAAAAAAAAAAAAAAAAUAGAAUAUUAAAAAUUAUUUUAAAAAAGGACUAGAGAUAUCACACAAAAUACCUCUAUGCAACGAGAUGAAUGUACUACUAGUGAACAAAAUUCUUCAAAGCUUCUGUACUUUACAUUAUCAAAUAUAAUAAUCUCAUCCUCAAAAUUGAAUAUGAAGAAUAAUAUCAUAAUACUAGACCAUUAUCUAAUAUCAAUGUACCAACCGUACAUAGAAAUCUAGCAUAAACAAUUAUAAUAGGCCCAAAAAUAUCUUAUAAUGACGUAUUAUCAUUGGACAUUGACCAUGUAGUAAAAAUUAUUAAAAAAAAACUCUACAACUUGGUUACUGCAAGAACAAAAUAUAAAAUAUGUAUAACAAAUCAAUAGCAGUAUAGUCAGUUUGACAUAUUAUAAUAAAUAUUUUUAAAAAAUAUUAAUGUUUUAGUAAUAUAUAAGAUAAACGCAUUUGAACAUUUUUUCCUUUCGGUAAAUAUAUAAUAUAAAAAAAAAAUUAUUAUGUGGGUACAAAAAUGCUUAAUAAUGUACUUAUGUAAAAUUAUAAGCCGCGGUCGUUUGCGAGUGCCGGCCUACGGUUUUCGGUUUCUGACACGGAAACGUUUAUUAUUGCAUUUUCUUCGUUAACGUCCAUUUACAUAUUAUUAAAUUGUACCUACCUACUCGUCGUAAUCAUAUUAUAAUACAAUAUUAAUACGAGGAAUAAAAAAAUGUUAUUCGGUACGCGGCCGAGCAGAGGUGCCUGCACAACACAACACACUGUACUAAACCAUCGAGCGCGGAUUUUCAUUUAUAUACAUAUUAUGAUUAUAAUAUUAUAUUGUAUUGUAUUUCGUCGGUCGUCCCAAUUAAAACCGUUUCCCCGGACCGUUAUUAAUGCGGUAUAUACCACGCGGGAUCGCGUAAUUGGAUAUUCGAUAUUUUUCAUUUCGAGCACGAUGUAUGAGUAGCGACGAGGUGGCAACGUGCGUCGGAGGCAUAAUAAUAAUAUAAUAUUAAUAUUAAUAUACUAUAAUACACAGAUAGGACAACCCGUAUAGGUAUAUAGCUCGUUGCUAGUGUAGUUGCUGCUGCGGUAGUAUACUGCAGCUGAUAUAGAUUUUCGUCUACGAAUAUUAUAAUAUAUAUAAUAAAAUAAUAUCGUAAUAAUAAUUGGUGCAUACACCGUUGCGUUAUCAAUUUUACCACCGUAAUACACGUUAUCGCUUAUUCCGUUUCUGCCGCUCGAAAAUCCAAACGACGACGACCGCACACAUCGUACGUAAUGCGUAAUCCUACAUUCCUACCGCCAUCACCACUCCUCCUACUACUACUACCAGUGUCUACCGCCGCUACCACAACUACUGUAUAGGUAACGUAUGAUAUAUAUAUUAUACAAUGGGCCCGUGUGAGUUUGUAUAUGCGCCGGCAAAGUUCCAACAACGCUGGCCGCUGUGUCCAAAAUCAACAAAUUACCCAACACGUUGCAAUAUACUGCUGAUCCUGGUCCUGCAGCCGCACCUUUUGGUACAUUUGCCACCUCGAUAUUAUAAUAAAACACCGAACACGCGAAUCUAUAUAAUAAUAAUAAUAUGAAUAUACUCCGAUGAUGAUGAUAAUAUAUUAUUAUUAUUAUAGUAAUAACGCACGGCGUCGAGUAAUUCGAUAGUGUAACGCGGCAGUGGAAAGGUCGUCGGGAACAAUAUUAUAAUCGGGAAAAAUCUUUAACUAACGAACGAUAGUUUUUCGGGAAAUACGCACGGCCCGUUCUCUUUCCGCUCAGCUCCUUCUUGACUACCGGUUAUAUUCACAUCCCCCAAUGUCGGCGGUGUGGGCUUAUUAUCCGAUGUUUUUACUUAGGCAUUGCAUUUGCAUGGACAAAUCCCAGGGAUAUAAUGUAAGAGAGACGAGACGUACGUGAAUACAAUAUAAUACCUAUACAUGUAUAUGGAGGUAAAGCCGUCGCCGCAUAAUACAAGUGAAGUGGCUCGGAAUGCUUUUGAACGAUUCGGGGACGUAAACACCAUAGAGAAAAUCGAAUAAAAGGGAUUGCCGCUCGGCGAUGUCCGUCAUAACCCGUCGUCGUCGUCGCAGCUCUCGGGGGCUUUCAGCUAAAACUUACCCAGCCCGGGUUUCUUCGCUGUAUAUGUAAAGCAUUAUUAAUCACUAAUUUAAUUAUGUCCACGGCGAAUAUGCGGCAGUUUCUCUGUGCAUGCGUCGCAAUAGCAAUGGGGAUGCGCCUAAUGGAAAAAAGGAUCAUACAAUAUUAUUCGAAUGCAAUGGAAAACGACGAAUGAAACAAAACGUCAUGUUCGUCAUAAAUGUUUCAAUAGCUUCAAAAGUCCGGGUUCCCGGGAAAAAAAACUUAUUUCGAAUCAAAAGAACCUGCUAAAAGGAGAUAUGACAUAUCUACGUGACUUAUAUAUUAUAUUAUAUUAUAUAGGAACAUGAAUCUAAAACAAAAAAUAAUAACCAUGGUUUAUCAGUCAACAAUUUUGAAACUCAAAUUUAACAACAAAAAAUUAAAACCAUGUUAAAACGGGAACACAAAGUGAAAUUAAUUAGAGAGGAAUAACUUUAGGUACCUACCGGCGUAGGUACACUUUUUUUGUUUCUAAACGAAUUACGUGCCGCAAGAUUAAUAGUAUAAGAAUUUAAUUUAAAUGCUUCAACGGCAACCUACCUAACCUUAUUCCCUACAUAUUAUUAUGCGCUUGCACGUAUUUUAGUGGACAAGUACCUAUAUAUAGGUACAUAAAAAUUAAAUUUAGUCGAUCUCGGAAAAAAAGUAGACUUGCAAUAAGAAAUCAAACUACACCAUACCGAGUAUUUACAUUAAUUGAUGAAUCUGCGAGAAUGGCAAACGACAACAAAGGAGGUUGAAAAAAAAAUCAGUACUCUUCAUCUGCUCUGAGCUCUAAGCCCCGCGGUUGCUGUGCGGGAGGGUUUCAAUGCCAGAAAAGUCCGCACCACACACAAGAGUUUUCGUCAGAGUUCCCGGGAGACUUGCCUUCCAUAAACAUAGGGACACGGAUCGAUGAAAAAUCGAGAAGCGGACGUGCAGCUGUGAUGAGAGGGUGUAGGUGAAGGUUGGGCGAGAUUUCCAUUAAACGUGUGCGUCCCGUCGUUAGCGCCGUCGCUCUAUGUACGAAGACAUCUUCUAAACGACGGCAAAAAUACGCGAAUGGACAAUAAUUCAUUACAGCGCAGGUACUCUAUCCCAGAGUCAUCAUCAUCAUCAUCAUCAUAUAAUAUACUAUAAAUUGUGCGGUUGAUAUACAUGCAUACAGCUUCGUCUGGCAUAUUAUUCUGCGGUAGUAUACGCGUUUUAGUGAUUUCUGAAUCGAGAAGGGGAUCGUGCCGGGUAUAAUAUUAUAAUAAUAUGCAAAUUCGUGUUAUUACACAUAACACGAUAUUAAUAUUUACGUCGUGUGUGUGUGUGUGUGUGUGUGGGCGUGCGUGUUUUUUUUUAUAUAAUAUUCCACUGAAAGCCAAUCGUUGCACAUCGUCGUCGUUCGAAGAUUAACAACAACAUAUCAUUAUUAUGUAUUAUUACUAUUUAUUAUACUGCUGCUCUUAACCGUCAACAGAACGUCUAGAACGGGGGAGAAAUUCCUCCAGGGGUUUUUAAAGGGGGUAACUUAAUGAGUUUAAUACAAUAUAUUAUUAUCUACGGCGCGUAUGGGGUGUAUUCAUUCAUGCACAUGCCAACCAAGGCGCGUGAUGUUGUUCUUAACGAGUUAAUCAAGUGAUAUUCAUCUGAUAUCAAUCGAUGUACGCGUAAUGAUGCAACAGAGCCUUAUUCAACAAGACUACAAUAUCAUACUAUAUCAUUAUGAACUAUGAAGUCACGACUGAAGAACACUGUAUAAGAGGUACCUAGCUGGUAAAAAUAAUAAUAAUAAUAUGACUAAAAAGGUGUCAUAUUGUCUUGUGACCUAAAUAACUUUGAACUUAUACAAUAACGAUUCCGUGUUUAAUCAAAUAUUUAAUUACAUGUUCAACUGAUAUGUUAUACCUAUAAUACUACUAAAACAAUGAAUUAUUAUCAAAUAAUUCGCAUUUAUUUGUGUCUAAUGAGAUAUCGUGGUGUGAGGUGUUGAAAUAAUCAUUUACCAGUAGUUUAAUUUUAGCUGUAAUUGUGUGUAGUAGGUACAAUACUAAAGAAUCGCGAUGAACAAAAUCAAUUAAAUUUAAUAAUAAUCAUAAUACCUAAUCAUGAUGGAUGAUGAUUAUAAAUGGAAUCCAAUACCUGCAGCUAUACCUAAUAUGGGCGUAUAUUGUUUAAUCGAUCUGAACAAACUCUGAUUUUCAAAUCGACAAAUAUUGCGUGGUAUAUUAUUAAUCGUGCUUGCGGAAUGUGUUUACAAAGUACAUAUUAUUAUAAUAUAGUCUCGCGUCUAAUCUCGAAAUUAUCUUACGAACUUUCCGAAAACAAAUGCACGCGAAACGUACAUAAUCGAGUUCUCUUUCGGUGUAUUUGCACAUAUAAUAACAGGCGUAUUUACAUUAAAUUUGAGCUGUGUGUAAUCAAAGAGGUGCGAACGUAUACGGUUAAACAAAGGUUGGUUUUACUCAGAAUAUUAAACUUUUGGCUGGUUUUAUUUGCAAAAGGGGCAUUGGGUGUACACUAUGUACACACAAGCAAACACACACACACGCUGACGCGAAGGUAACCGACUGUAGUGUUAAAAUAACAGCAGUGUUGUCCACCUGCAAUGAGUGAAUUAUAUUUCAAACGUUUCCGGUCGAAAAUAUAGUGAAGAGAAAGGGGACACAGCAUGUCAUUGUUAGUGAAAUAUUCAAAGACAAUGAUGAUGAUAAUAGUUAUUGAUCGUACGUAUGUAGUAAGUUUGAUAUAGUUCAUGUAUCAUAUUAAUAUUAUUUUAUUUUUAGCCCAACGUAUUCGUGUGAGAACACCGUCGAAAAUCGAUCUUCAGGAUGUUCGGCGUAUACCCUCAUCGCUUUUUAAAAGGACGAGCAAUGUAGACAGUUGUUAAGACACGAUACGCACACGAUACGAACACGACGAAAUUAUAUUUAUACGAAAUCGUGCACUGACGGGGGCGGCGAAAACGACGGCAAACUGUCGGCGCGACCCGGCGUUCGACUGGCCCGGCCCCCCACGAGUACGCGCGGUCGGCGACUUGUUGUAGACGCGCUACCCUCGUGCGUUCGGGCGCCGUCGUCGGUCGCCGUCAUGGCGUUAUCAGUCCCGACGUCGGCGGCGGCAUCGGCGACGGCGGCGGCUUGGCGGUUUAUUUUAUUAUAAUAUAUAUUUUUCGGUUUUAUUAUUUA